ACUCCUACGGGAGGCAGCAGUAGGGAAUUUUCCGCAAUGGACGAAAGUCUGACGGAGCAAUGCCGCGUGAGUGAUGAAGGUUUUCGAAUCGUAAAGCUCUGUUGUAAGGGAAGAAUAGCAAGAUAGGAAAUGAUUCUUGUCUGACGGUACCUUACCAGAAAGCCACGGCUAACUCCGUGCCAGCAGCCGCGGUAAUACGGAGGGUGCGAGCGUUAAUCGGAAUUACUGGGCGUAAAGCGCAUGCAGGUGGUUUGUUAAGUCAGAUGUGAAAGCCCGGGGCUCAACCUCGGAACUGCAUUUGAAACUGGCAGACUAGAGUACUGUAGAGGGGGUAGAAUUUCAGGUGUAGCGGUGAAAUGCCGUAGAGAUCUGAAGGAAUACCGGUGGCGAAGGCGGCCCCUGACAAAGACUGACGCUCAGAUGCGAAAGCGUGGGAGCAAACAGGAUUAGAUA
rnacentral:rRNA from 1 species